rnacentral:rRNA from 1 species
AGAGUUUGAUCCUGGCUCAGGAUGAACGCUAGCGGCAGGCUUAACACAUGCAAGUCGAGGGGCAGCAUCAGUGCUUGCACUGGAUGGCGACCGGCGCACGGGUGAGUAACGCGUAUGCAACCUACCCAUAACCGGGGAAUAGCUUUCGGAAACGGAAAUUAAUACCCCAGACAUCUUAAUAUCGCAUGAUAUAAAGAUUCAAGCUCCGGCGGUUAUGGAUGGGCAUGCGUGCCAUUAGCUAGUUGGCGAGGUAACGGCUCACCAAGGCGAUGAUGGCUAGGGGGUCUUAAAGGAUGGUCCCCCACACUGGUACUGAGACACGGACCAGACUCCUACGGGAGGCAGCAGUGAGGAAUAUUGGGCAAUGGACGCAAGUCUGACCCAGCCAUGCCGCGUGCAGGAAGACGGCCCUACGGGUUGUAAACUGCUUUUGUAUGGGAAGAAAAAGCUCUACUAGUAGAGUACUGACGGUACCGUACGAAUAAGCAUCGGCUAACUCCGUGCCAGCAGCCGCGGUAAUACGGAGGAUGCGAGCGUUAUCCGGAUUUAUUAGGUUUAAAGGGUGUGUAGGCGGUAUUUUAAGUCAGUGGUGAAAUCUUUCAGCUUAACUGAGAAACUUGCCAUUGAUACUGGAAUACU